rnacentral:rRNA from 1 species
UACGUAGGGGGCAAGCGUUAUCCGGAUUUACUGGGUGUAAAGGGAGCGUAGACGGCCAGACAGGUCUGAAGUGAAAAUCCAGCGCUUAACGUUGGAAGUGCUUUGGAAGCUGCCGGGCUAGAGUGCAGGAGGGGCAGGCGGAAUUCCUAGUGUAGCGGUGAAAUGCGUAGAUAUUAGGAGGAACACCAGUGGCGAAGGCGGCCUGCUGGACUGCAACUGACGUUGAGGCUCGAAGGCGUGGGGAGCAAACAGG